AUUGAACGCUGGCGGCAGGCCUAACACAUGCAAGUCGAGCGAGCGGCGGACGGGUGAGUAAUGUCUGGGAAACUGCCUGAUGGAGGGGGAUAACUACUGGAAACGGUAGCUAAUACCGCAUACCAUCAGAUGUGCCCAUAUGGGAUUAGCUAGUAGGUGGGGUAAUGGCUCACCUAGGCGACGAUCCCUAGCUGGUCUGAUAGGAUGACCAGCCACACUGGCACUGAGACACGGUCCAAACUCCUACGGGAGGCAGCAGUGGGGAAUAUUGCACAAUGGGCGCAAGCCUGAUGCAGCCAUGCCGCGUGUGUGAAGAAGGCCUUCGGGUUGUAAAGCACUUUCAGCGAGGAGGCGUUACUCGCAGAAGAAGCACCGGCUAACUCCGUGCCAGCCGCCGCGGUAAUAC
rnacentral:rRNA from 1 species